UCCGUAGGCGGUGUGGCAAGUCGGAAGUGAAAUCUCUGGGCUUAACUCAGAGGCUGCUUCCGAAACUGCCGUGCUAGAGUGCGAGAGAGGCAAGUGGAAUUGCGGGUGUAGCGGUGAAAUGCGUAGAUAUCCGCGGGAACAUCCGAGGCGAAAGCGGCUUGCUGGAUCGCAACUGACGCUGAGGGACGAAAGCUAGGGGAGCAAACAGGAUUAGAUACCCUGGUAGUCCUAGCCCUAAACCAUCAGGACUUGGGGUUUGCCCUGUACGGGGCAAGUCCCGUAGCUAACGCGUUAAGUCCUGCGCCUGGGGAGUACGGUCGCAAGGCUGAA
rnacentral:rRNA from 1 species